AUUGAACGCUGGCGGAAUGCUUUACACAUGCAAGUCGAACGGCAGCACGGACUUCGGUCUGGUGGCGAGUGGCGAACGGGUGAGUAAUAUAUCGGAACGUGCCCAGUCGUGGGGGAUAACGUAGUGAAAAUUACGCUAAUACCGCAUACGAUCUAAGGAUGAAAGCGGGGGAUCGCAAGACCUCGCGCGAUUGGAGCGGCCGAUAUCAGAUUAGGUAGUUGGUGAGGUAAAGGCUCACCAAGCCAACGAUCUGUAGCUGGUCUGAGAGGACGACCAGCCACACUGGGACUGAGACACGGCCCAGACUCCUACGGGAGGCAGCAGUGGGGAAUUUUGGACAAUGGGCGCAAGCCUGAUCCAGCAAUGCCGCGUGCAGGAAGAAGG
rnacentral:rRNA from 1 species